AUCUUACAAACACUGGCGUGUCGAUGGCAAUAUACAUCCCUUCAAAUUUAUUUCUUAUUUUCUUAACAUAGGUGCGCAAACCCGUAUAAAGUUCUUGAGUAAGAACAAGGGAAGCAGGGCCAGCUUCGACAUUUCUGGCUUAUCAUUGAUGAUAAGCCAGAAAAAGUUGCUUGGACCGUUGUUUGGAUUCUGCUGUAUCAAGAAAGUGAGCAUAACUGUCAAUUGAUGAAGCUAAUGAUUUCAAGUCAGAGCGAAACUUUCCCCACUUUGUUGUGAACGAUUGCAUUAAGCACCAUAAAUAACGUUUCAAAUCAGCAGAACUUAGCGGUGGAGCUUUAAUUUAUUUUUUUCGCCAUUCAUUUUAAUUACUGAAUUUAUGAACAAAUCUAAACAUAUAAAAAGUAUGAUAAUAUUAACCCAUGGGUUGAAAAAAUACAAUACACUCGGGCAACUUACGGCGCGUCUUUAAUUUUUUCGGGAGAAGCACGUGUAUACCGCGUUUCUUUAAAUUAUUUCCCGCGUUUUGCUGUUUGACGUGUUCUUUUGACGUGCUGAUUUUGUGGGAGGAUACAUCGCUGACAUGCCUUUAUUUUUAAAGUGUGGGAAGAGAGGAGGGCAAGAAGGCAGCCAUCUUCUUUACGAAUGUCUUUUUGACAGAAAUGUUUGCGACGUAUUUGUAACAGAACACAGAAAAAAAAGGAUUCUUACCUGGAAAUUUUUCGUAUUUACGACGCAUUCGGUUUGGAUUAACAAAGUUGUUGGUAAAUUUCGAUAAAUCGAUGCCAUUGUUUUCCAGGUAUUCUAUGACAACCGUAUUUCCAGUGGUGCCAGGAAUGCCAUACUUUCGUGCCAAUUCAGAAUAAUUUAUCUAAAAUUUAUAAAAAUUAUCCGUGUGUUAAUGGAUAUUGUAAGUACUGUUUACAGAAUAUUAUAUUCGUAACUA